rnacentral:rRNA from 1 species
AGUGGCGAACGGGUGAGUAACACGUGGAUAAUCUGCCUCCGGGUUGGGGAUAACUGUCCGAAAGGAUAGCUAAUACCGAAUGAGAUGGUGGUUGCAUAAGCAGCAGCCAUUAAAGGUGGGGACCGCAAGGCCUACUGCCUGGAGAUGAGUCCGCGGCUGAUUAGCUUGUUGGUGGGGUAACGGCCUACCAAGGCGACGAUCAGUAGCCGGCCUGAGAGGGUGAACGGCCACAUUGGGACUGAGAUACGGCCCAGACUCCUACGGGAGGCAGCAGUUAAGAAUCUUGCACAAUGGGCGCAAGCCUGAUGCAGCGACGCCGCGUGAAUGAUGAAGGCUUUAGGGUUGUAAAGUUCAGUAAGCAGGGAAGAAUAAGCGUGGGGUAAUAUUCCAUGUGAUGACGGUACCUGCCUAAAGCCCCGGCUAACUACGUGCCAGCAGCCGCGGUAAUACGUAUGGGGCGAGCGUUGUUCGGAAUUAUUGGGCGUAAAGGGCGUCUAGGCGGGAAAUUAAGUUAGGUGUGAAAGCUAUGGGCUCAACCCAUAAACUGCAUCUAAAACUGAUUUUCUUGAGUUCGGGAGAGGAGAGCGGAAUUCCAGGUGUAGCGGUGAAAUGCGUAGAUAUCUGGAAGAACACCAGUGGCGAAGGCGGCUCUCUGGCCUAGAACUGACGCUGAAGCGCGAAAGCGUGGGGAGCGAACAGGAUUAGAUACCCUGGUAGUCCACGCUGUAAACGUUGUAUACUAGGUGU